rnacentral:lncRNA from 1 species
GGCUGCUAGUGCCACUCACAAAUGUUCCGCUCUGCUUGUCGACCAAGCUAAUGCUAACACAUUUUAUUGUGAGCUCAAGCUAAAAUUGCCUCCGACUCUUACAUGGUGGACGUGAUGAAGAACUGAAAAGGAGGGAAGAAGGGACAGAAAUGUCCACAAAGGGCGUGGAAAGUGACACGACCUCAGCAGUGAGCGCUGCAGUGAUGCCAUCGAAAGAGUCUGGAGAAUAUUUUGUGGCCUAUUGAUCAGUAAGAUGUGGGCCUCAGAACAGCACGUUCAGCCGGAAGAUACUUUUUUUUACUGGCCUGAGGAUUAUGAUGACGGGUACGGGGCCCAACAAAUAAAUGGCCAGUACAUUGCCCAACUGCUUCAGGACCAAACAACGUUCGCUGACGACCAGGACGGGGCUCCAAACUAUGAAGACCUGACAACCGUUGAUGUCUUGUCUAUCGCAGAGUACUGCCACCCACAAAAUCCUUGCCCCACAACCAUCAACCCCAUUCCUAAUGAUGUGCACAUGCAGGCCCAACAACAUAUUGAGCUCCAAACCUUCAUCCCAUCGGCUGUGUCUGCUAUGACAUAUAAUGGACUUCCAGUGUUCACUGCAGGGAUGGAUCCACUUCCCACUUUUGGAGGACAGAAUGAGAAUGACGUUGUUUCAAUCGUGCAACCAGAACCCCCAGCAGUCCCAGCAGUCCCAGCCCCCCCAGUGAAGGCUCCAGUCUUAAAAAAGGUGAACAAGCGUAAGGCAGAGAAGGUGGAAGAGGGGCUGUACAUAAAAAAGCCCCCCAAUGCCUUCAUGCUGUUUCUCAAAGAGCACAGGAAGUCUGCGGAGGAAGAUCUGGGCGUGAGGACGAGCGCUGUCGUCAACAAAUUCCUCGGUGAACGGGUGAGUUUGUUUUUCCUCCAUGAAUGAUCUGUGAU